CAAGUAAGACAGACGUUCGCGGAUGCAGGUGCCGAAAGGCCGCAGACGAGGAAAGUCCGGGCUUCACAGGGCAGGAUGCCGGAUAACGUCCGGUAGAGGUGACUCUAAGGAUAGUGCAACAGAAAUAUACCGCCUGCAGAUGCAGGUAAGGUUGGAAGGGCAGUGUAAGAGACUACCGCCUGGGUGGUAACACACAGGGCAUAUGUAAACCCCAUCCGAAGCAAGACCGAAAAGAAGUGGUAUGGCGGCCCGUCAUGCUUCAGGUUGGUCGCUUGAGUCUGCUGGCAACAGCAGAACUGGAUAGAUGAACGUCCACGACAUAACCCGGCUUAUCGUUUUGCUUGCUUU
rfam:Coprococcus comes CAG:19 genomic scaffold, scf90